rnacentral:lncRNA from 1 species
AUGCUGUUCUUUUACUUUACAGUCAUGGCACUUCUUACAGAUACUGUUCUUGCAAAUGCAAUAACAUCCCGCUCUACUAAACAGCAUGUUUUAGAAGGAGGAAACAUUACUAUUUCUUGCAACUACAGUGGAAGCAAUAUUAACAGUCUUCAGUGGUACAGACAGUCUUCCAACACUGCACCUGAAUUUAUCUUGCAAGCUUUUGAAAGUGCGGGAGCACAGCAGAAGGAUCGUUAUGUUGCUAAAGUUCAAAUGAAUGAAAAACAACUACAUCUGGAGAUCUCCAAAACUGAGAUGGCAGACGCUGCAAUAUACUACUGUGCCCUGGUGCCCACAGUAACAGGAAACCCUUCAACACUGUACAAAAACCUGAGAUAUGACUCUCACAUUUGACUACAGUGCACUCUGAUCCUGGUGCUAGAUGUGAAUUAUUAUUAUUUUUUAUUUUUUUUAUUUUUUUAUGUUGCACAGAAUGAUGGGUAUUAAUAGUUAUUAAUUCAUUAAUUCAUAUUCAUGGUCAUUAACACUGAUAAAAAUGUGAUUUAAAAAAAAUCAAAGCAAAAAGAGUAAGAUUAGCCUCAGUCGUGGUAAUGAGGGUGGAGAGAGCACUGUACAUUCACUCCCCCCACCUACAAUCCCUGCCGGCUCCAGACUUGAACUCGCAAUCCAAAGGUUGCUAGUUCCGACUCUCUAACCAUUAGGCCACGACUUCCCCCUUGUAGUGCCAGCUAGUCGACCUCUUCCGCAUAUGUCCACUAGCAUCCAUAAUACCAAACGUGUGGAUCUUAUGCCUUUUCUUUAAUAUACACUGCCGGAGACUUUGAACCACAGAUCACAUUAACUGGUUUAAAGACUAAGGUAUAAGAACUAAACAACUUUCCCAUAUGGCAGAGCUUAAUAUAAAAAUGUAGAAGCAUUUUAAUCUGAGGGAGGAUGUCAGAAUUCAAAGACAUCCAGUCUGAAUGAUACUCAAGUCUCUCAGAGUCUUCUUCAAAUUUCUGCUGUCAUGAUUAUUUUUACUCUCCUCACUUUUUUUGGAUGUGUAUGGGUAAGAUAAAGUUGUAUUUUGACUUAUUUACUACUACUUUUUACCAGUGGUUACUGUUUGAUUUAUUAAUUAGGAUUUUACUCUCCAUUACCAGGUCACACAGAGGCAGACACAAUUAAAACCCUUGUCACUGAAUGAAAAUAAACGUGUUGGUGACAGUGUUACUUGGUCCUGUAGCUAUAAAGACUAUACAGGUGCUGUAAAUAAUUUACAAUGGUACAGACAAUAUCCCAGAUCCAAACCGGAGUUCCUCCUUUACAUCUUCCAACAUGGUGCUAUGAGUGAAGACAGACCACCCAGAUUUACUGCUGCAGUUCAUAAAGACAACAGACAAGUGGAUCUGAAGAUCUCUCCUGCUGAAGAGACAGACUCUGCCAUGAAAAACCUGAAAUGAGGAGGAAUACAUUAUUUACAUCUGUAGCAAUCUUUCUAAAACUUUUAAUGAUAUCAAAAUGAUAUUCUUCUAACAUCCAACAAAGUGUUUGCUACAUAGAGACGGUAUUUAUCAGAGAAUAUGAAGACUCAGUGGGCGGAGCUCUCUCACUAAGAUGCUGAUGCAAAGUCUCUCUACUUUCACUGACUUUGUCAUCGGCCCUUUUCUAAAGAUCAUCCAUCAUGUUUCUCUUUUGCUGGACACUUUCAUUAUUCUUCGGUAAGAGACAUUCUAAUUUUCAGGGUAUCGUCCCCAAUAAAUGUGGACAAACUUAAUUUUAGAGCAAAUAAUGCAUGAAUUUUUGAUGCUAAAUCUGUUUUCUUUUUUAUUAAUAAAGAUGCGUUUCUUUUUUUUACAGGUAUUUCUUUUGCAAACACAAUACAACCACUAUCCUCUGAAAAGCAUGUUUUCAGAGGUGAAAAAGUGAUUCUUUCUUGUAACUACAGUGGCAAAGUAAAUAAUCUGCAGUGGUAUCAUCAAUAUCCUGGAUCUCGACCAGAGCACCUCAUUCUUGUCACAGAAUAUUCAGAACAAGAUCUUUCACGUCGUCUGUCAGCAAAAGCAACAAAAGACCUAAAACAAGUGAAUCUUACAAUCUCCUCUGCUGAAGAAACAGAUUCUGCUCUGUACUACUGCGCCCUGCAGCCCACAGUGACAGGAAACCUGAGAACACUGUACAAAAACCUAGGCAUGUAACACAUCAAUUAUUUAACGUCGGCAGAAAUAGUUAAGUUCAUGUCAUCUUUCCAAACCCUGGUAAUCCAAAAAAAAAAAAAAAAAGAAAAGAAAAGAAAGAAAAAUUUUUAUGCAUUUGUUGUGUCACAAAUAACUCACUUUGCCCAGAAGAGGGUGCUGUGCACUAAGAACUGUUAUGGUCCUCAUGCACAUAAUGAUCUCAAAAUUUACCACACAACUUUCUGAAUAAUAUACAGAACAGUAGAUAUUUUUAGUCGAUAUCAUCUUUUCCAAAACCCUGGUAAUCCACAAAAAAAAAAAAGAAAAGAAAAGAAAGAAAAUUUUUAUGCAUUUGUUGUGUCACAAAUAACUCACUUUGCCCAGAAGAGGGUGCUGUGCACUAAGAACUGUUAUGGUCCUCAUGCACAUAAUGAUCUCAAAAUUUACCACACAACUUUCUGAAUAAUAUACAGAACAGUAGAUAUUUUUAGUCGAUACUACAGAAGUAAGUCAGCCUCAGUGCAUAGCAUGAUGGAUAAUUAACACAGAAAUCUAAAUGCUGAUCUAUUCAUUACACGUUUUCUUGUUUUUGCUUCAUUUAUUCUACCACUGCAAGCAUGUCAUAUUUAAAUGUGGUGCUGUUUAUUUUCUUGCAAUUAAAAAAAAAGUUUGAGAACAAGGAAGUCUCCUGCACAGAGCAGGGAGUUGUUCUUAGGGUGGGACUACAAAAGAAAUACAGGCACUUAAGUCAGGACUGCUUUUGCUCUUCCUGUGUCUCAGUAUGACGAUGCUGCUCUUUUACUUUACAGUCAUGGCACUUCUUAAGGUGAUUUGAUUUAUAUUUAUAUCAUAGCUAUAUGUUAGUUGUGUUUUUUUGUAGAAUAUAUAAAUACAUUGCAUAAAUACAUACUCAUGCUGAAUUAAUGUAAUCUUCUUCUCUUAUUGUCUUUCCAGAUACCGUUCUUGCAAAUGCAAUAACAUCCC